AUUGAACGCUGGCGGCAUGCUUUACACAUGCAAGUCGAACGGUAACAGGUCUUCGGAUGCUGACGAGUGGCGAACGGGUGAGUAAUGCAUCGGAACGUGCCCAGUCGUGGGGGAUAACGCAGCGAAAGCUGCGCUAAUACCGCAUACGAUCUAUGGAUGAAAGCGGGGGACCGUAAGGCCUCGCGCGAUUGGAGCGGCCGAUGUCAGAUUAGGUAGUUGGUGGGGUAAAGGCCCACCAAGCCAACGAUCUGCAGCUGGUCUGAGAGGACGACCGGCCCGAGGGGGAGUGAGACACGGCACAGGCUCCAACGGGAGGGAGCAGUGGGGAAUUGCGGACAGGGGGCGAAAGGCAGAUCUAGCAAUGCCGCGUGCAGGGAGAAGGCCUUCGGGUUGUAAACUGCUUUUGUACGGAACGAAACGGCUCUCUCUAAUACAGAGGGCUAAUGACGGUACCGUAAGAAUAAGCACCGGCUAACUACGUGCCAGCCGCCGCCGUAACAC
rnacentral:rRNA from 1 species